rnacentral:rRNA from 1 species
UACGGCCAUACCACCCUGAACACGCCCGAUCUCGUCUGAUCUCGGAAGCUAAGCAGGGUUGGGCCCGGUUAGUACCUGGAUGGGAGACCGCCUGGGAAU